rnacentral:lncRNA from 1 species
GCCAUCCUCUUCUUCAAUGUGGAAGGUUUGUUCUUUUGUUCUUUGUGAUAAAUCUUGCUGUUGCUCACUCUUUGGGUCCACACUGAGUUUAUGAGCUGUAACACUUAUGAGCCAGCGAGACCACGAACCCACCAGAAGGAAGAAACUGCGAACACAUUGGAACAUCAGAAGGAACAAACUCUGGACAUCCUGCUUUUAGGAACUGUAACACUCACUGCGAGAGUCUGCGGCUUCAUUCUUUUAGUCAGUGAGACCAAGAACCCACCAAUUCCGGACAGGGCAUCUACCUAGAAGUCAGCAGCUCAGUGGAGUCUUUCCUGGUAACCCGACCUAAAAUCCCCAAACUGCCAAGAAUUGGUGUACAAAUAUCACGGACAGUGGGAAAAACAAUGAAUGCUGCCUGCUUAAGUCACAAGGCUCUUUAUUCUGAUAUCCCACUGCUCAUUCCAAAUCCCAAGAUCCUGAGGAACUGUCAUUGAUCGACUCAGAGAUAAGCUAUCCAACUUUGAUCUAAUUAAGGAUGUUCAGAGUCUAUUUCAUGUUUUGCAUAAUGAUUACCAGGGUCACCAGUGCUGAUAAGGAGGAAUGCAUAAAUGCAGAAGUUAUUUUCACAAAACUUGCAUUAUUGGCUUGGGCUUGAAGGGAUUAGUAGACAUGAAGAGACAAGUAUGUUCAAAGACAGGAUGGAGACAAAGACUCCCUAAGUUGGAGAAACAUUAAAGAAAGGGAAGAUUCUAUUUCUGCUGCACACAGAUACUGUUUUCUCAUCCAAGUGGACACAAAAAAUAAUACUUGUUUAAUGAGUCCUGCCAUUGCAAAGACUUUUGUCAUAUGAUUUUUAAAUUUUUUAUAACUAGCAUCUGCCUAGUAAAACUUUUAAAACACUACUUAAAUGAUUUUAAAAUAAUUAUUCUUUACCUGAGAUGCACUUCUAGGUUUUUUUGUUAAAUAAUAUGAAUAAAGCUAAUCUUACAAUCUCAGCAUUUAGAGAUUAGCCAUCAUAAUUUAAAAUAUCCUUUCAGUCACUCUUCUAUUAACAUGUACUACUUAAUCUUACAAUUGAAAUCAUACUUACUUUUUUGAUAUUAAAUACAUGUAUGGAAGUUAUUGUUUUAUAGCAUGAUUUUUAAUGACUGAAUAGUAAACCAUUAUAUAAGUGUGUCAUAAUUUAUGUAACAUCUAUUGUUGCUAGUCAAGUGAUUCUAAUAUUCAUUAUUAGUUUGUUGUGCUAUUUUAAUAUUGAUGAGCAUUAAUCUUUUUCAAUAUUUUUCUUUUUAGUUUAAAUUCUUACUAGUGGGUUUGCUGAAUCAAAAGAUAUUUUAAAAUUUAUUCCUAAACUCACUUCAUUAUAUUUUUGCCUCUGCUAGUUUCAUCUGUGCUUAUAACCAUUUGUCAUUAUCAUUCUGUUUCAAUUACAGUUAAAAAGUGAAUUUUUAAAUUCAAUUCUUAAAAUUUAUACAUUAAUUUCUUUUUUCAUUUCCUUGUUACUUAGAUCUUUUACUUUGUUAGAUAUCUUUUGAAGUAUAAUAUUAAGUUCCCAAAUUUCUUAUGUAAUUUGUUAUUAUAUCUGAAAUUUAGGUUCUUAAAGAGAAAAUUGUCAUAUGCAUAGUGGUAAGUUUUCUAUUCAGGAAUAUGCUAUUUUUUCUAAGACUUUUAAAAUAUCUUUCAAUAGUAGUUUUUUUUUCUUGCAUAUAUAUCGUGGAUGUUUCUGGAGAAUUUAGUUUUUAGAUUAUUUUCAGGUUUAUUGUAUGUUCAAAUGCUUAUCUUAUGCUGAGAAACAAUUGGUUUUGCAUUUUUAAAAUAUAAAUAUAGUAUUUACAUAUGUAGUAAAUUACCUUCUUACUGCAUAGAUAUUUUGUUCAGUUGAUCAUUUUCAGUUUCCAAAGUAUCCUAACAUGCUGUAAUACAUGACAAUAAAUUUGUCUUUGCCUCUUUCUUACCUUUGUGUUGUUUGUUUGUUU